GAAUUCACUAGUGAUUCAGGCCUAACACAUGCAAGUCGAGCGGGGUUUUCGGACCUAGCGGCGGACGGGUGAGUAAUGCGUAGGAAGCUGCCCGAUAGAGGGGGAUACCAGUUGGAAACGACUGUUAAUACCGCAUAAUGUCUACGGACCAAAGUGUGGGACCUUCGGGCCACAUGCUAUCGGAUGCGCCUACGUGGGAUUAGCUAGUUGGUGAGGUAAUGGCUCACCAAGGCGACGAUCUCUAGCUGGUUUGAGAGGAUGAUCAGCCACACUGGAACUGAGACACGGUCCAGACUCCUACGGGAGGCAGCAGUGGGGAAUAUUGGACAAUGGGCGCAAGCCUGAUCCAGCCGAUGCCGCGUGUGUGAAGAAGGCCUUCGGGUUGUAAAGCAAUGUCAGCGAGGAGGAAGGGUGGUGUGUUAAUAGCACAUCUUCUUGACGUACUCGCAG
rnacentral:rRNA from 1 species